UCUAGAACUCGAGAUAUGGGUUGAACACUGAAUAAUAUCUGGGCUGUAGGACAGAUUUUGACUUCUCCGUUGUUGCUAAGAUUUGAACUUAAAAAUGACCUUUUUGAAUCUUGGACUCUGCAUGAAAGUUUUAGGCCUAUGUCUUAGCUUUCCAUC
rfam:Populus trichocarpa scaffold_10_contig_188, whole genome shotgun sequence.